rnacentral:rRNA from 1 species
UACGGAGGGUGCGAGCGUUGUCCGGAAUCACUGGGCGUAAAGGGCGCGUAGGCGGCGCGGGGAGUCAACGGUGAAAGCUCGGCGCUCAACGCCGAGUCGGCCGUCGACACUCCCGUGCUCGAGCACUGUAGAGGCAGGUGGAAUUCCGGGUGUAGCGGUGGAAUGCGUAGAGAUCCGGAAGAACACCGGUGGCGAAGGCGGCCUGCUGGGCAGUAGCUGACGCUGAGGCGCGACAGCGUGGGGAGCAAACAGG